UGUUCUUGAAUUCCUCAUAUUGCAAGAUGAAUGCCAAUCCCAAUUCUCCAUUUCUCUUGGUCCUUCUGAUGAUGUCAUUUCUCUUUAUGUUUUCUUGUAUUGCUCGACAUGAUGUGUUGGUACCAGCCGAUGUUGGUAGCCAAAAAAGUGAUGGGGCUCAAGUAGGACAGGUGCCGAGGGCUCGCACAAGCUUAAUUCAAUGGUUCAAUAGGUAGUAUUUGAGAGAAGGAAAGAUACCCAGAAGAAUAACCCAGGCGAGGUAUCCGGAACCUCCUCCGAUCUGUUAUAACCCCCCAUGUUAUUCGUCAGGUAUGUCGGCAAUUAAGAGCUCAUUUGAGCAAUGAAAUAAUUUAAUUAAUAUAAUUGAAGUAAGUUUGUUGGGAGAUGGGGAAAACCUAUAGUCACUACUCACUACUUAAGUGUGUACUGAAUAAAUCCUUCUUUGUUACUCUAGUCAAUGAAGGACUAAAAAAGGAAAUCAUUAUAUAUAUUAUGAAAUAUGGUCCAACUUACCAGAUGGACUAUUGCCAUCAGGUUCAUUAUUGGUAUCCAUAACGUUCAUUAUUGGUAUGCUGAAUGCUUCAUUUUUAGUA